rnacentral:lncRNA from 1 species
CCUAGAUUGAGUUAUCCUAGAGACAAAAGGUCAAUUCAAAAUGUCACCGCCUAAUAUGAAGGAAAAUCUGCAGGGUUUGACUUGCAAGGAGACAGGCAUCUCAUUUCCUUCAUUCCGAUUUCCACAAGGCACAAUGAGGCUCUGAUGUUCAGGUUAUACUGCUGGCAACGUUUUUCAAUUAACAUUUAAUACUCCCCCGGAAAAAGCUCAACCUCUCACUGGCACUGAACCCAGCAUUUCGGUGAAAAAAUGCUCGGAAACAAAGAGGCCUUCCCUUCCAUUGAUCUCCUUGUUCCCACAGCUUCUGUACUUGGAAGAGUCUUAGUUUUCAAGGGCACCGUAAGAUUCCAGGUUGUCAUUCUCUGCUGCAUCCUCUGCUUGCUUUAUUUAUAGAGUUUACUGUCCUGAGUUAGGAAGUUGACAGACAUCGCAUUGCAAGUCCUGGAAAAAUCCAUCGUGAAGGUGUUAGAAAUAGCCACAGAAUCGUCAUUAAUGUGUCCUUCAUGCAGAAAAGAGCUCCAUCAGGCCGGGCGCGUUGGCUCACGCCUGUAAUCCCAGCACUUUGGGAGGCUGAGGCGGGCGGAUUAUGAGGUCAAGAGAUCAAGACUAUCCUGGCCAAUGUGGUGAAACCCCAUCUCUACUAAAAAUACAAAAAUUAGCUGGGCAUGGUGGUGAGCACCUGUAGUCCCAGCUACUCAGGAGGCUGAGGCAGAAGAAUCACUCAAACCUGGGAGGCGGAGGUUGCAGUGAGCCGAGCUGGCACCUCUGCACUCCAGCCUGGUGACAGAGCAAGACUCCGUCUCAAAACAAAAAGAAAAAGAAAAAAGAAAAGAAAAGAAAAGAAAAGAGCUCCAUCAUUUGACCAAUUUUACUGUGAUUAGAGAAUCAGACUCAACAGGGGUCAGGAUGACUCUUUAUAGGGAUGAAAUUAGAAAUCCCUAAAUUCUCAAAGCUGGUGUUCAGAGAAUGCCAUUG